rnacentral:misc_RNA from 1 species
GUUUGGCAAGGUUGGUUGGUUCUCGAGAUUCUAAUGAUAGUUCUUUUGUUAAUGGAGAUUUAGGGGAGUUUGGUUAUGUUGCUCCUGAGUAUUCAAGUACCAUGGUUGCCUCAUUUAAAGGGGAUGUUUAUAGCUUUGGGAUCGUGCUUUUGGAGUUGGUUACAGGGCAAAAGCCUUUGGAAGUUAGUAUUGCAGAGGAAGGAUUCAAAGGGAAUUUGGUGGAUUGGGUAAAUCAUUUAGUGAGCACUGGUCGAAGCAAGGAAGCCAUGGAUAAAGCUCUAUAUGGGAAAGGUCAUGAUGAUGAAAUAAUGCAGUUCCUGAAGAUUGCUUGNNGUGGUUUCCAGGCCCAAGGAUAGGCCUUCUAUGUACCGAGUAUAUGAAUCUUUAAAGAGCAUGGCC